GAUGAACGCUGGCGGCGUGCCUAAUACAUGCAAGUAGAACGCUGAAGCUUGGUGCUUGCACCGAGCGGAUGAGUUGCGAACGGGUGAGUAACGCGUAGGUAACCUGCCUCUUAGCGGGGGAUAACUAUUGGAAACGAUAGCUAAUACCGCAUAAAAGUCGAUAUCGCAUGAUAUUGAUUUGAAAGGUGCAAUUGCAUCACUAAGAGAUGGAUCUGCGUUGUAUUAGCUAGUUGGUGAGGUAACGGCUCACCAAGGCGACGAUACAUAGCCGACCUGAGAGGGUGAUCGGCCACACUGGGACUGAGACACGGCCCAGACUCCUACGGGAGGCAGCAGUAGGGAAUCUUCGGCAAUGGGGGCAACCCUGACCGAGCAACGCCGCGUGAGUGAAGAAGGUUUUCGGAUCGUAAAGCUCUGUUGUAAGAGAAGAACGAGUGUGAGAGUGGAAAGUUCACACUGUGACGGUAACUUACCAGAAAGGGACGGCUAACUACGUGCCAGCAGCCGCGGUAAUACGUAGGUCCCGAGCGUUAUCCGGAUUUAUUGGGCGUAAAGCGAGCGCAGGCGGUUAGAUAAGUCUGAAGUUAAAGGCUGUGGCUUAACCAUAGUACGCUUUGGAAACUGUUUAACUUGAGUGCAGAAGGGGAGAGUGGAAUUCCAUGUGUAGCGGUGAAAUGCGUAGAUAUAUGGAGGAACACCGGUGGCGAAAGCGGCUCUCUGGUCUGUAACUGACGCUGAGGCUCGAAAGCGUGGGGAGCAAACAGG
rnacentral:rRNA from 1 species